rnacentral:rRNA from 1 species
UACGUAGGGUGCGAGCGUUGUCCGGAAUUACUGGGCGUAAAGAGCUCGUAGGUGGUUUGUCGCGUUGUUCGUGAAAUCUCACGGCUUAACUGUGAGCGUGCGGGCGAUACGGGCAGACUAGAGUACUGCAGGGGAGACUGGAAUUCCUGGUGUAGCGGUGGAAUGCGUAGAUACUGGGAGGAACACCGGUGGCGAAGGCGGCUACCUGGACGGGUACUGACGCUGAGGCGCGAAAGCUAGGGGAGCAAACAGG